UAUUCGUGGUUCCUAGAUCGUCGAUUCUCAGUCAGAGGGCAUCAUAAAUUCCUAAUUAACGAGAAACGAAAUAAAUAUUACGUUCAAAUUCGCGUUUAUGUAGGUAGUUUCAAAAUUAUUUAAAUAGAAGUAUAAAACAAAAUUGCAGACUAUAAUAGUUAGGUUAGAAUAUGCCGAAUUUUGAAGUUUGUGUAUAGGUUAAAUGAACUUGUGUUUCCAUAAGAUUUAACAUGUUUCGACCGGCGAGAAACAUAUUAUCGACUUUAAAUCGCGUCAAAGAAUAUCGUGCAGUGCACACUACUUGUCAAAAUUUAUCAGAAGUCACAGAAUAUGAAUCUGCUAUUACUGACGAGUACAAAAGAGGACCUGUAGAAGGUAGAUCUCUUUAUUUGGAUGUUCAAGCGACUACACCAAUGGAUCCACGAGUACUGGAUAAAAUGAUGCCUUAUUUUACAUCAAAUUAUGGAAAUCCGCAUUCCAGAACUCAUAUGUAUGGAUGGGAAACAGAAGCAGCUGUUGAAACCGCUCGUAGUCAAAUAGCAAAUUUAAUAGGCGCUGAUAAGAAGGAAAUUAUAUUUACUUCUGGUGCAACAGAAUGUAAUAACAUAGCUGUAAAAGGUGUAGCAAGGUUUUACAAAGAAAGAAAGAAUCAUAUUGUGACAACACAGACAGAGCACAAAUGUGUAUUAGAUUCUUGUAGAGCCCUGCAAGCAGAAGGAUUUAAGGUGACUUAUAUUCCAGUGAAAUCAAAUGGUCUAAUUGAUCUCAAUGAGUUAGAAGAUGCAAUUACACCCAAUACAUCCCUUGUUUCUGUAAUGAUGGUAAAUAAUGAAAUUGGUGUGAAACAGCCAAUUGCAGAGAUUGGUGCUAUAUGCAGGAAGAAAAAGGUAUUUUUUCAUACAGAUGCAGCUCAAGCUGUUGGAAAAGUUGAAAUCGAUGUUAAUGCUAUGAAUGUUGAUUUACUAUCUAUUAGUGGUCAUAAAAUAUAUGGUCCGAAAGGAAUUGGAGCUUUGUAUGUGAGAAGAAGACCUAGAGUGCGUAUCGAAGCAAUUCAGAGUGGAGGUGGUCAAGAACGAGGUAUGAGAAGUGGUACUGUUCCAGCACCUUUGGUGGUAGGCCUUGGAGCAGCUUGCGAGUUGGCACAAACAGAAAUGGAGUAUGAUCACAAGUACAUCACAAAGCUGUCGAAUCAUUUCAUAGAAAAAGUAAUGUCAAAUCUACCACAUGUCAUACGCAAUGGAGAUACUGUGGCCUGGUACCCUGGAUGUGUGAAUUUGUCUUUUGCAUAUGUAGAAGGUGAAUCUUUGUUAAUGGCACUAAAAGAUGUUGCUUUGAGUAGUGGUUCCGCUUGCACUAGUGCAAGUUUAGAACCUAGUUAUGUAUUGAGAGCAAUUGGGGCAUCAGAAGAUUUGGCACAUUCCAGUAUUAGGUUUGGUAUUGGACGUUUCACAACACUUGAGGAAAUUGAAUUCACAGCUCGAAACACGAUUCAGCAUGUUAAGAGACUUCGGGCAAUGAGCCCAUUAUGGGAAAUGGUUGAAGAGGGAAUCGAUCUGAAGACUAUCAAAUGGACUCAGCAUUAGUGGCUUUCGACUGUAUAGCCUUUGCUAUCUAAUAAUAUAGAUAGCAUGGAUUAAGUGUACAAUGAUAUUGACCCAUAUGUUACAAUAUCCAGUAAAUGCUGAGAUAGAAGGUGGAAAGACGUUGAAUUGUCUAAUGCAAACACUAAGAUAGCAGCUUCUGCAAACUUGUAAUAACUCGAUGUCACUGAUGCAACUCUUUCCAUACCCCCUGUAUC